AUGUUCCUCCAUAAUUGAGAAAUCCUGUGCCUAGAGAGAGAGAGAGAGAGAGAGAGAGAGAUGGUGCUACUUGGGUUCGACGAGGUGGCGACCGUGGACGCUAAAGAAUGAGAGACACACUCCUUAUCUUUACAUGUUUCUAUCUUCGCUAUUAUUGAGCUUUGAGGCAUUUUUGGCUCUCUCCCAAGAACAAGCAACGAGAAAUGGCUUCCGGAGUUGUUUAUUCUCUGCAACAACACAGAGGUGUUGGGGAUUAAUUUGAUGCGGUCUUGGAUGUGCUGAAAAAAAGGGGUAUGUGUUUUUUAUUUUCCCUUUUUUGUUAAUUUUUGCAAUCUAUAUCUGCAAGGACCAACUUUAUUAGAGUGUUCCAAUUUCGUUCA